rnacentral:rRNA from 1 species
AGAGUUUGAUCCUGGCUCAGAUUGAACGCUGGCGGAAUGCUUUACACAUGCAAGUCGAGCGGCAGCGCGGGGGCAACCCUGGCGGCGAGCGGCGAACGGGUGAGUAAUGUAUCGGAACGUACCCAGUCGUGGGGGAUAACUAUCCGAAAGGAUAGCUAAUACCGCAUACGUCCUGAGGGAGAAAGCGGGGGACCGUAAGGCCUCGCGCGAUUGGAGCGGCCGAUAUCGGAUUAGCUAGUUGGUGAGGUAAAGGCUCACCAAGGCGACGAUCCGUAGCUGGUCUGAGAGGACGACCAGCCACACUGGAACUGAGACACGGUCCAGACUCCUACGGGAGGCAGCAGUGGGGAAUUUUGGACAAUGGGGGCAACCCUGAUCCAGCCAUUCCGCGUGAGUGAAGAAGGCCUUCGGGUUGUAAA